rnacentral:lncRNA from 1 species
AGCACAUCAGAUAGUACCUGUUGAUUUUGCAUAGAGAAGGUAUAAGUAAAGCAACAUUUCAUAGGGUCACUUAUAAUCUUCUAAAAUGAUACAUUCAUUAUAUCGAAAAGGGUACAUUCAGCCUUGUAGUUCUCAUUUUAAAAAAUAGAUAUUUUAUUUACUACAUUAUCACAUUAGUUAAGAGGUGAAGUACUUGAAUAACGUGCUAUCAGAGGAAACAUUUUUGAUGACUAUCACUGUUUUGACAUUGCAAUAAGAACUGUUAUAUAAAACUAAGGCACAGGCUCAUCCUGAAUGCUUGGAGCUAAUUCAUCAUCAACGGUAAACACUCAAAAAACAAAUAAAUACAACUAAAAGGGCAAGACCAAGUCUUCUGAUAAAUUUUACCAGUAACUUCAGAGAUAAAAGAAUUCAUCAGUAACUUUUGACAUUAUAAGUAAGGGGCACUGAGUUUCCAAAAACAAGCGGAUAUAGUUUCACUGUGUCUCAUCCAAAUUUCAUUUUAAAUUGCCACGUGUUGUCCGAGGGACCCAGUGGGAGGUAAUUGAAUCAUGGGGGCAGGUCUUUCCCAUGCUGUUCUCGUGAUAGUGAAUAAGUUUUUUGAGAUGUGUUAGUUUUUUUUUUUUUUUUUUUUUUUUUUUUUUGAGACAUUGUCUCGCUGUUGCCCAGGCUGGAGUGCAGUGGCGCGAUCUCGGCUCACUGCAGGCUCCGCCCCCCGGGGUUCACGCCAUUCUCCUGCCUCAGCUUCCCGAGUAGCUGGGACUACAGGCGCCCACCACCUCGCCCGGCUAGUUUUUUGUAUUUUUAGUAGAGACGGGGUUUCACCGUGUUAGCCAGGAUGGUCUCGAUCUCCUGACCUCGUGAUCCGCCCGCCUCGGCCUGAUGUGUUGGUUUUAUAAGGGGGAGUUUCUCUGCACAAGCUGUCUCUCUUUGCCUGCCGCCAUCCGCGUAGUAAACGUGACUUGAUCCUCCUUGCCUUCCGCCAUGAUUUUAAGGCCUCCCCAGCCACAUGGAACAGUGAAGAUGCAAUGAGAAAGCACAGUCUUUGAAGCAAGAGAGAGCCCUUACGAGAUGCUGAAUCCGCUAGUGCCUUGACAUGGGACUUUCCAACCUUCAAAACUAAAAACUGUCAAGACCAGUGAACACCUAGUGUUACUUGCACCAAGAAUAGUAACCACGGCUCUUGCAGAACUUGAAGAUGGAUUUUCACCUGUCGCCCAGGCUGGAGUGCAAUGGAGACAUCUCAGCUCACUGCAAUCUCUGCCUCCUGGGAUCAAGUGAUUCUCCUGCCUCAGCCUCCCAAGUAGCUGGGAUUACAGGUAUGUGCUACCAUGCCCAGCUAAUUUUUUAAUAUUUUUAGUAGA